rnacentral:rRNA from 1 species
CCUACGGGUGGCAGCAGUGAGGAAUAUUGGUCAAUGGCCGAGAGGCUGAACCAGCCAAGUCGCGUGAGGGAAGAAUGUCCUAUGGAUUGUAAACCUCUUUUGUCAGGGAGCAAAGUCACCCACGUGUGGGUGUUGGAGAGUACCUGAAGAACAAGCAUCGGCUAACUCCGUGCCAGCAGCCGCGGUAAUACGGAGGAUGCGAGCGUUAUCCGGAUUUAUUGGGUUUAAAGGGUGCGUAGGCGGGUUAUCAAGUCAGCGGUAAAAUCGUGGAGCUCAACUCCAUCCAGCCGUUGAAACUGAUGAUCUUGAGUGGGCGAGAAGUAGGCGGAAUGCGUGGUGUAGCGGUGAAAUGCAUAGAUAUCACGCAGAACACCGAUUGCGAAGGCAGCUUGCUAGGCCGGAUCUGACACUGAUGCACGAAAGCGUGGGGAUCGAACAGGAUUAGAUACCCUUGUAGUC